AUUGAACGCUGGCGGCAGGCCUAACACAUGCAAGUCGAACGAGUGGCGGACGGGUGAGUAAUGUCUGGGAAACUGCCUGAUGGAGGGGGAUAACUACUGGAAACGGUAGCUAAUACCGCAUACCAUCGGAUGUGCCCAGAUGGGAUUGGCUAGUAGGUGGGGUAAAGGCUCACCUAGGCGACGAUCCCUAGCUGGUCUGAGAGGAUGACCAGCCAGACUGAAACGGAGAAAAGGGCCAGAAUCCUACGGUAGGCAGCAUUGGGGAAUAUUGCACAAUGGGCGGAAGCCUGAUGCAGCAAUGCGGCGUGGAUGAAGAAGGCUUUGGGGUUGUAAAGUACUUUCAGCGGGGAGGCGUUACCCGCAGAAGAAGCACCGGCUAACUCCGUGCCAGCAGCCGCGGUAAUAC
rnacentral:rRNA from 1 species